rnacentral:rRNA from 1 species
CCUUGAAAUACCACCCUUUAAUGUUUGAUGUUCUAACGUUGGCCCCUGAUCGGGGUUGCGGACAGUGUCUGGUGGGUAGUUUGACUGGGGCGGUCUCCUCCUAAAGAGUAACGGAGGAGCACGAAGGUUGGCUAAUCCUGGUCGGACAUCAGGAGGUUAGUGCAAUGGCAUAAGCCAGCUUGACUGCGAGCGUGACGGCGCGAGCAGGUGCGAAAGCAGGUCAUAGUGAUCCGGUGGUUCUGAAUGGAAGGGCCAUCGCUCAACGGAUAAAAGGUACUCCGGGGAUAACAGGCUGAUACCGCCCAAGAGUUCAUAUCGACGGCGGUGUUUGGCACCUCGAUGUCGGCUCAUCACAUCCUGGGGCUGAAGUAGGUCCCAAGGGUAUGGCUGUUCGCCAUUUAAAGUGGUACGCGAGCUGGGUUUAGAACGUCGUGAGACAGUUCGGUCCCUAUCUGCCGUGGGCGCUGGAGAACUGAGGGGGGCUGCUCCUAGUACGAGAGGACCGGAGUGGACGCAUCACUGGUGUUCGGGUUGUCAUGCCAAUGGCACUGCCCGGUAGCUAAAUGCGGAAGAGAUAAGUGCUGAAAGCAUCUAAGCACGAAACU